UGUAGCAAUACAGGUGGCGCACGGCGCACGGGUGCGUAACACGUGGGCAAUCUGCCCUCGGAUGGGGGAUAACUCGCCGAAAGGCGAGCUAAUACCGCAUGACAUUCCUGGGACUCCGGUCCCGGGACUCAAAGGCCGCAAGGUCGUCUGAGGAGGAGCCCGCGCCCGAUUAGCUAGUUGGUGAGGUAACGGCUCACCAAGGCUUUGAUCGGUAGCCGGUCUGAGAGGAUGGCCGGCCACACUGGAACUGAGACACGGUCCAGACUCCUACGGGAGGCAGCAGUGGGGAAUAUUGCGCAAUGGGCGAAAGCCUGACGCAGCGACGCCGCGUGGGGGAUGAAGCUUCUCGGAGUGUAAACCCCUUUCGACCCGGACGAAUGACCCGCAAGGGUUUGACGGUACGGGUAUAAGAAGCCCCGGCUAACUACGUGCCAGCAGCCGCGGUAAUACGUAGGGGGCCAGCGUUGCUCGGAAUUACUGGGCGUAAAGGGUUCGUAGGUGGUGCGGCAAGUUGGAAGUGAAAUCUCUGGGCUUAACUCAGAGGCUGCUUUCAAAACUGCCGUGCUCGAGUGCGGGAGAGGCCAGUGGAAUUGCAGGUGUAGCGGUGAAAUGCGUAGAUAUCUGCAGGAACACCCGUGGCGAAGGCGGCUGGCUGGACCGCAACUGACACUGAGGAACGAAAGCUAGGGGAGCAAACAGGAUUAGAUACCCUGGUAGUCCUAGCCCUAGACCAUCAGAACUUGGGGUGGCCCGCGUAGGCGGGUCGUCCCGUAGCUAACGCGUUAAGUUCUGCGCCUGGGGAGUACGGUCGCAAGACUGAAACUC
rnacentral:rRNA from 1 species